rnacentral:rRNA from 1 species
AUUGAACGCUGGCGAGAGGUUUAGCACAUGCUGGUCCAGCGUGAGCACCUAGAAGCUUGCUUCUUGGGUGACGAGCGGCGGACGGGUGAGUAGANAUAGGAAUCUGCCUGGUAGUGGGGGACAACAGUAGGAAACGACUGCUAAUACCGCAUACUCCCUACGGGGGAAAGCAGGGGAUCUUCGGACCUUGCGCUAUCAGAUGAGCCUAUGUCGGAUUAGCUUGNUGGUGAGGUAAAGGCUCACCAAGGCGACGAUCCGUAGCUGGUCUGAGAGGAUGAUCAGCCACGCUGGGACUGAGACACGGCCCAGACUCCUACGGGAGGCUCNUGGGGAAUAUUGGACAAUGGGCGCAAGCCUGAUCCAUGCAUGCCGCGUGUGUGAAGAAGGCCUUCAGAUUGUAAAGGACUUUCGGUUGGUAGGAAGGUCUGUAAGCUAAUACCUUGCUGGAUUGACGUUACCAACAGAAGAAGCACCGGCUAACUCCGUGCCAGCAGCCGCGGUAAUACGGAGGGUGCAAGCGUUAAUCGGAAUUACUGGGCGUAAAGCGCGCGUAGGUUGUUAGUUAAGCGAGAUGUGAAAGCCCCGGGCUUAACCUGGGAAUUGCGUUUCGAACUGGCUAACUAGAGUACGGCAGAGGGUGACGGAAUUUCAGGAGUAGCGGAGAAAUGCGUAGAGAUCUGAANGAACAUCAGUGUCGAAGGCGACCACCUGGACUGAUACUGACAGUGAGGUGAGAAAGCGUGGGGAGCAAUCAGGAUUAGAUNCCAUGGUAGUCCACACCGUAAACGAUGUGUACUAGUUGUCGGGAGACUUGAUNUCUUGGUAACGAAGCUAACGCGAUAAGUAGACCGCCUGGGGAGUACGNCCGCAAGGUUAAAACUCAAAUGAAUUGACGGGGGCCCGCACAAGCGGUGGAGCAUGUGGUUUAAUUUGAAGCAACGCGAAGAACCUUACCUACUCUUGACAUCCUGCGAACUUUCGAGAGAUCGAUUGGUGCCUUCGGGAACGCAGAGACAGGUGCUGCAUGGCUGUCGUCAGCUCGUGUUGUGAAAUGUUGGGUUUAGUCCCGUAACGAGCGCAACCCUUGUCCUUAGUUCCCCUCAUUUAGUUGGGGACUUUAAGGAGUCUACCGGUGACACACCGGAGGAAGGCGGGGACGACGUCAAGUCAUCAUGGCCCUUACGAGUAGGGCUACACACGUGCUCCAAUGGCCGGUACAGAGGGUCGCGAAACCGCGAGGUGGAGCUAAUCUCCCAAAUCCGGUCGUAGUCCGGAUUGGAGUCUGCAACUCGACUCCAUGAAGUCGGAAUCGCUAGUAAUCGUGAAUCAGAAUGUCACGGUGAAUACGUUCCCGGGCCUUGUACACGCCGCCCGUCACACCAUGGGAGUGGGUUGCUCCAGAAGUAGAUAGCCUUACCUUCGGGAGGGCGUUUACCCCGGAGUGAUUCAUGUCUGGGGCGAAGUCGUCACAAGGUA